AGUGCUCUACAGACACACUUCUCACCAAGCACAGGAACUGAGAUAGCUCAUCAAGAAGGGACUGGAAUGUCUUUGCAGAUAUGUGGAAUUGGAUAUCCUCGAGGCAGAUUUACAAGCCCAUCACCAAUGUUAACAACACCGGGUGAGAACCAGUCAAAAUGUCCUAUGAUAGCCAAUUCCCACGGCAGACCAGAAUGCAUCAGGUCUGGAGGGCCCAUGUUCGCACGUCGCUGUUGCUCUUCAGCUGCAGUGGCCCCACAGGUAAACAAGAGGGAGAGCAAACCAUUGUCCUGGGAACAAUACGAGACUGGUUGCUGUAUUCCAUGACACACUAUACAGUGCCACGGCGGAGCGAGCUCAACCACCAACUCAUCAUCCAAGUCGGUCUGUACUGUAGCUACAGUUUGUCUGCUAGGGAGAAACCUCACAUUUUCAUAUACAUAUCUCACAAAGAUUCAGUUUCCACAAAUAUGCGUUAUUUUGAAAUGAGGGCUUGAAUCAACUGGCCCCGCAGCAUUUGCAUAGUAUUACUAAGAAUCUCUAAGCCGUUUUAUUUGCUAUGAGGAUGGGCAUGGCCCUGACUUCUAGAAAAGGGCAUUCUAAGUAAAUAGCACAACUGGUAACCUGUUUCCAUGAAUUACUGUUGUGGCAACAUUGUACAUAUAACAAUGUAAUCAGAGCUGGGGAUUUCCCCUGUCUGCAAACUAGAACAUUACAUUUAAUUUAAAAAAAAAUCAUUUGUUGACAAGACAUAUGGACGGCACAUUUCAUCGAAGGAAACUGAGAGACGGGUUUUAAAAAAUAAAUAACAGGAAAAUGGUCGGCUAGUGACUGUGGCAACACAGUCAUAGGGCGGCUUCACGACAACUUUGUCUUCUCUUGCUCAGUGUUCACCUGCUAUCCCAUCAGGGCCCUUAGGUCUCACGACAUAUACACCUCAGACUCUCUUAAGGCCUUUAGCUAUCUGGCCAGUCUCUGUCACAAUUCAGCCUGCGAGCACUACUC